CACAGCAGGUGACAAUUUUAUGUACUAUUCCUAUAACAUUAAUUGUAUUAGCUUAGAUGAGUUGAUUAAUCCUAGCAUUAAUUCCUACAGUAAACGUGCAUCACUGGGACCUAUAGUAAACGUGUCACUAUGAAGAAAACACCACAACUAGACAAUUUUAGUAGUUGGUGGGACCCACAGAUUAGCAGGUGAAUGGUAAAUGGUACCUUUUAUUAUGGAUCAUCCCCGGACCAAAGACUUGGUACCUUUUGUUGUUGUAAGUUCCUAAUUAGUUUGUUUCUGUAUUGCGUCGAAACUAUCCAGAUGUUGAGCGAGGGUCCCUGGAAGGUGGGAACCGCUGUUAUGAUCAUAAUGAAGUUGUCCAUUUUCUAUGGACAGCAAUAUGGGUAGCCUGGCCAUUUGGACAGGCCCGUGUUUAUGUAUUAUCUUGAAAUUGAUGAAGCAGAUACAGAUAUGCGUUAGAGCUAUCCGGAUGUUGAGCGGGGGUCUCUGGAAGAUAUAUUGGAAGGACUUCUUAAAUUGCCAGGGAACAGGGAAUGUGCUGACUGCAAAAGCAAGUAGGUAUCUUGGUUGAAUUGUGAUAACGAAUGAUCUUUUAUUUCUAAAGAUGAGGGACAAGGAGCAAGUAGUGGGCACAUGUCAGUGACAGAUACUUCACAAAAUGAGACAUUGGAGGUUGGACCUGAGAAUUUGAAGAUGUCCUUUUCAUCAACAUCUGGACAACUGAAACGUAUGAAGAAUUAUAGAAUAGGGGUGAGUUGUAUUUUCUUUCCUGAUUACAAGCUCCUGGGUUAAUUAGCUUCAAAGUUUCUUGUAAAUCAGGCUUCUUUGACAUAUAUAACUCCAGUAUCUAGGCCUUGUAAUUAAUUAAAACUUUACACAUGUUAUCCAUUGGAUUCCAGGACUCCUUGCCAUGUCAUUCAAAUCCUUUUACAUGGUUAUUGCUGUGUUUAUAACUCUCGUAAAUGGUAACAUGCCUACCUAGGUGAAAGAUUUAGAUGUGGAACUUGAAGGUACUAAGCAGAAAAGUAAACAAAACCUACAACAAGCCAUCUUAAUUGAAAAGGAAAGAGUUACUCAAAUGCAGUGGGAUAUAGAAGAACUUCAUAGGAAGUAUUUGGAGAUGAAGUCAAAGCUAAAGUUCAAACAGGUUUCUUUGUUGUAAUUCUUAUGAUAGGUUGAGCAAAGUGAAGUAUUGUUUAUUUAGAAAUGUGAAUGUGGGUACAUUGUAUGAUUUGAUUGCUAUUUGUAAUAAAUGCAUCAUUUUUUUCCUAAUUGCAUUUUAUGUACUAUUCCUAUCAGCAUUAAUUAUAUUAGCUUAGACAACAGGUUCUUGCAAUC